rnacentral:lncRNA from 1 species
GUCAGUUUCUCUGCACGAAUACCGAGAGAAGACGAACGGGUGUUCUUCGUGUUCUUCAUAUUCAAACGAGGAUUUGAAGGCGUUAUUGGAAUCCGAUGGAGGCGUAUGAAUAGUCAAAACGAAGCUCUCGACGCGUAGAAUCUAUUGUAGUCAUCAAUAUCAGUGCUGAAUCGACAGGUUUUUGCUAAAUAAGCUUUUUAAAUUCGAAUUAUAUUAUUUCAAAGGAUGAAUUUUCGUAAACGAUCUUGUUUCUAUGAUUUGAUGAUUCCAUGUUGUAGAGCAUCUCCUGCCAUUCGUUUUCAUAUAUUAUAUGUCGAUUUUUGACUUCCAUAUCAUAUAGAAAAGUUGGUUUGAUUCUUGAAUUGGUGUUCUUGAGUGUUCUUCGUAGUUUAUGAAUGUUUUCAAUUGCGAAUUGGGCGUUUUUAAUCUAGGAAACUAGAGGAUGUGUGGUUGGUACCAUUAGAAAGAGCGUGAGGAGAGGAGUAUGUUCAUGCCACCCAAUUGACCGGACGACCCCCGUAGAGGUCGCCGGAAUCUGGAAAUCGUGGCGGCGGCGACGAACUUUGGCUGCGAAUUCCGGCCAAAACUCACGUUGUUUGAUGAUUAUAAUUGUUGAAACGUGUUCCUGGUGAGUAGUAUUGUAUAUCUGCAGUUUUUGGAGCGUGAUGGAGUUCAGAAUCGCCGUCUCCGGCGAGUCAGAGGCCGCCGGCGGUGAAAAUUACAGUUUAAUACCCGUAGUUUUGAAGAUGGUGAAAACUUGGUACUCUAGUUUAUGUUUUGACAUUUGAUCCCCUGUAACUUCUUAAAGUUACAGUUUAUACCCCGGAUGAAAACUUUCAAAAGUUUACAAAAUAAACCUUUUGAUUUAAUUUUCUAAAAUUGUUUUAUUUAAUUAUUUUAAAUUCCAAAAAUAGUUUUUAAUUAUUUCUUUAUUCAAAAAUAAAUCUAAAUUAGUUUCUUAAUUAAUUUUAAUUAGUAAUUAAUUAUUUUAAUUGGUCAAUUAAUUUAAAUAUUAAUUGAUUAAUUAAUUUAGUUAAUUAUUAAUUGAUUUUAAUUGAUUAAUUAAUUGGAUUUAAUUGUUCCUUUUGAUUUAAAAAUUCUGGAAAAUAGUUUCGAGCUUUGAAUUAUUUUUCUAAAAUAUGUUUGAGGCUCGUUAAUUGAUUUCAAAUGAUUUUGGACCCGAUCUUGAGCAAUCGGACUUGAUUAUUUAUUCAAAAAUGGAUUCUUUUACCUGUUUUAAUUCCGAAAAAUGUCUAGAAAUUCCAGAAAAUUCCUGAAAAAUCAUUUUUAACCUGAGACUUGAUUUGACAUCAAUUGGGAUGGGAAACCUUAUAUGAAAAAUGUUGUCUGCUAUCUGUUUGAUAUGUUAUGAACCGAUGGGAGAGUUAGAAAACGGUUUUGCUCAUAACUUUUGACUCGUAAUUCAGAAUGGAGUGAAACGAAAAAGAGAUUAAAGCUUAUAAAGUCUAUUUUAAUGUGACAUAAUAAUAUGGUGGAGUAUAGAAUGUGAAUAAUUGUUGUUAAAUGUAUAGAAUAUGAUUAUAUGUGAUCUAAUUGCUAUUAAUUGAUGAUUGCAUGGACUAUCUGGUUGUUCUAGUAUUACAUACAGGUGAUAAAUGAUUAAAUGACAUAGUGUCGUGUCUUGAUAGGUGUCGGAUAAAAGCAUAUGGAUUAUAGUGAUUGGAUUUGGUUGGUUGAUUGUUGAUUGAGAUAGGAUAACAGGUGGAUAGUCUAAUAAAUAGACGAGACGAUGUCGGAUUUUCGAUAAGAUUUAUAUGAUAUUUAAUUGAUAAUAUGUUAUGUGAAAUAUGAUUAGACUAUAUGGUAGAGUCAAAGCAUGAUUAUGUGUUAAGUGAUAUUUGACGAGUUUAAAGAGUUGUAUAAGUGGGUAUCGAUAUACGUGAUAUGUGUAUGCGAUAGGUUAUGCUACCGAAUUGAUAAGUAGAGAUAAGAAUCAAUAGAUUAUUUAGUGAUAAUGGUAGUAUCUUAUUCUCGUAAAGGGUUUGGACGAGACGGAUACGAUCGAAGACGUUCAGAAGAUCAAACGAUGUUACAAAGCGAAUAAGGAACGAAUCGAGUAAACGAAGCAGUGUGGCGAAUAGAGUAUAGCCAAAGAUGGUCUAGAGACUAUGAUAUGCAUAGAGUGUGAAAGUGGAAAGAUGAGAUUGAGAUAUGAGACUGGAGUCGGAUUUAAGGCAAGUUUUCCUAAAUCCUUCCUCA